AGUGAACGCUGGCGGCGUGCCUAACACAUGCAAGUCGAACGGGCUAGUGCUUCGCACUAGUCUCUUUCUGGGGUUGUUACUCUAAGGCUACCUGCUAAAGUUAUUGCUUUAAAGCAGGGGUUUUAGGAGACUUUCCCCGAAAGGGGCCAGUGCGGAGCACUGGCCAGUGGCGAACGGGUGAGUAACACGUGGGUAAUCUACCCUCGAGUGGGGAAUAAGCUUCCGAAAGGGGGUCUAAUGCCGCAUAACGUUUCAUAACGAUGGUUAUGAAACCAAAGCCCAAAAGGCGCUCGAGGAGGAGCCUGCGUCCUAUCAGCUUGUUGGCAGGGUAAUGGCCUACCAAGGCUAUGACGGGUAGCCGGCCUGAGAGGGUGUCCGGCCACACUGGAACUGAGACACGGUCCAGACUCCUACGGGAGGCAGCAGUGGGGAAUUUUGCGCAAUGGGGAAACCCUGACGCAGCGACGCCGCGUGAGCGAAGAAGGCCUCGGUCGUAAGCUCUGUCCUUGGGAGAAGGCG
rnacentral:rRNA from 1 species